UACGUAGGGAGCAAGCGUUGUUCGGAUUUACUGGGCGUAAAGGGCGCGUAGGCGGCGCGGUAAGUCACUUGUGAAAUCUCUGAGCUUAACUCAGAACGGCCAAGUGAUACUGCAGUGCUAGAGUGCAGAAGGGGCAAUCGGAAUUCUUGGUGUAGCGGUGAAAUGCGUAGAUAUCUGGAGGAACACCGGUGGCGAAGGCGGCAUCCUGGACCGAUACUGACGCUGAGGAGCGAAAGCUAGGGGAGCAAACGGG
rnacentral:rRNA from 1 species